UGUGUUAUGGAAAGCCCAGCUUUCUCAGACAAACCUCUGCCAUUUCCCAGCAUGCAAGGCACUCAUGGAUUCUGGCACACCAUUCAGCGGUGAGAAGUAUGCUGAUGCCAUUGUAAAGCUACAGGAAAAAUUUGAUCACAGGUUGGCAGAUUUCAAGACACACCGAUACACUUUUCAAUU